rnacentral:rRNA from 1 species
UACGGGGGAGGCAGUCGUUGUCGGAAUUACUGGGCGUAAAGGGCUCGUAGGUGGCCAACUAAGUCAGACGUGAAAUCCCUCGGCUUAACCGGGGAACUGCGUCUGAUACUGGAUGGCUUGAGUUUGGGAGAGGGACGCGGAAUUCCAGGUGUAGCGGUGAAAUGCGUAGAGAUCGGGAGGAACACCAGUGGCGAAGGCGGCUACCUGGACCAGCACUGACACUGAGGCACGAAAGCGUGGGGAGCAAACAGG